rnacentral:tRNA from 1 species
GGAGAGGUGCCAGAGCGGCUGAUCGGGACGGUCUCGAAAACCGUUGUGCUCGAAUGAGUACCGGAAUCCCCCCCUCUCCG